UGGAUUCAUCAUCGUUACCCUCCUUAGAUCCGACGAUUUGAUGCGACGGGAAGUGUAGAUCAGGGAUGGAGAGGCAAGGGGCAGCCACGGAGGAGGUGGACCUUCACACCAAGCGCACGGGCCAUAAGGAUUUCGCGGACAAGACCGCCAAGGCGGCCAGGCCCAUCGAUCUCGGAGGCCUCGCUGAAUCCGGCCUCCUCCUCGGAGGCCAUGGACGUGGACGCCCCGGCCUCGGCAAUUGAGAAGCCUCAAGAUAUACUUCAAAAGGUAGAAGACUGGUGGGAUUUCUUUCAACACCACAGUGCCUUUGACUCAUAUUGAUGAG